CCUCAGCAUGCGUGCCUGCCGGCAUAAUGUGUAAGGCUCAGGUUUCUGAUACGUAGGAAUGAAUUGCACUUAAUUUUGCACUCUCAUUGCUGGCAUAGGAGAGAGAACUCUGUGAACCAAGUACUAGGUGUUGUCACUUCUCCCCCGUGGGGGAGCUCCUUCCUGUGAGGCUGCUACCCAAUAGUCCCUCUGAGGGUGGUAUAAAGCUGGAGGAUUUCGUGGGGAGGGAUCAAAGGACUAAUGAGCUUAGAGACAGCUGGCAACUUUGUAUAAAGAUUAACAAUGGACUAAACACGAAGAUGGUCACAGACAGCCGCACAAGGUUGCAGGUGUGCUGAUCAGCAAACGCGGGAGGAACAGCUACCACAUCCAAGGAAGGCAGCAGACGCCAAAUUACCACUCCCGACUCAGGGAUGUAGUGACAAAAAAUAACAAUACAGGACUCUUUUGAGGCCUGUAAUUGGAAUGAGUACACUUUAAAUCCUUUAAAAGGAUCCAUUGGAGGGCAAGUCUGGUGCUAGCAGCCGCGGUCAUAGCUAUAUAAAGUUGCUGCAGUUAAAAAGCUCGUAGUUGGAUCUUGGGAUCGAGCUGGCGGUCCGCCGCGAGGCGAGCUACCGCCUGUCCCAGCCCCUGCCUCUCGGCGCCCCCUUGAUGCUCUUGACUGAGUGUCCUGGUGGUCCGAAGUGUUUACUUAGUGGUCAAAGCAGGCCGGUCGCCCGAAUACUUAAGCUAGGAAUAAUGGAAUAGGACUCUGGUUCUAUUUUGUUGCUUUUCGGAACUGGGGCCAUGAUUAAGAGCGACGGCAGGGGCAUUCGUAUUCUGCCGUAAGAGGAGAAAUUCUUGCACCGGCGACAGACGAACCAAAGCAAAAGCAUUUGCCAAGAAAGUUUUCAUUAUCAAGAACAAAAGUCGGAGGUUCAAAGACGAUCCGAUACCGUCAUAGUUCCGACCAUAAACAAUGCGACUAGCAUCUGGCAGUGUUAUUGAUGACCACCGAGCAGCUUCCGUGAAACAAAGUCUUUGGGUUUGGGGGGGGUGUGGUUGCAAAUGUGAACUUAAAGGAAUUGAUGGAAGGGCAGCACUUGGAGUGGAGACUGCGGCUUAUUUGACUCAACACAGGAAACCUCGCCUGGACUCAGAAAGGGUUGACAGAUUGAUAGCUUUUUCUCGAUUCUGUGGGGUGUGGCCGUUCUUCUUAGUUGGUGGAGCGAUUUGUCUGGUUAAUUCCAAUAACAAACAAGACUUCUCCAUGCUAACUAGUUACGGGACCCCCAGUGGUCAGCGUUCAACUUCAUGGAGGGGCAGGUAGCGUUCAACUUCUUGGAGGCACAAGUGGCAUUCAGCCACACAAGAUCGAGCAAUAACAGGUCUGUGAUGUCCUUAGAUCUCCGGGGCUGCUCACACGCUACACUGAAUGUAUCGGCGUGUGUCUACUCUUCCUACUGCGCGAGAUCUUGGUCUUUAUUUGAAUUUGAAUCUUUCUUUUACCCAUCAUAUCUCUCUCACACCCCAGUCUUGCCGUUUUCAUCUGUAUAAUAUUCGCAAAGUUCGCUCUUUUCUUACCUUCCAUGCAACUAAACUGCUUAUUUCUUCUCUAAUUUUUUUUCUCGAUAUUGUUCUGUUACGCUCUUUGGUCCCUCUUCAUCCCGCCUGGUUCCUUUGAAAUCUGUAUACCACUCUUCUGUUAGUUUACUCUGCCUUCUCUCCUAUCGUGAUUCUAUUUCAG
rnacentral:rRNA from 1 species